GAAAAGAGAAUAAAAUAACAUGAUGGGCGUUAGGGGUUGAACCCCUGACCUUGGGGUCAUGAGGUUAACCCCCAUCCACUAGGCCAAGCACUUCAAAGAAUAAAAUAGAAAGAGUCAAACAUAAAAAACAUGCGCGCUCAAAACAACUAAUCAGGACAUGACAACAUAUUUAUUUGGAUUUGAAACACACGCAAGCCAAUGACAAACUCAAUCGUCUUCAACCUUCAACCUUAAAAUUUAA
rnacentral:lncRNA from 1 species